CCUACGGAGUGCAGCAGUGGGGAAUAUUGGACAAUGGGCGAAAGCCUGAUCCAGCCAUGCCGCGUGUGUGAAGAAGGCCUUCGGGUUGUAAAGCACUUUCAGUGGGGAAGAAAGCCUUGGGGCUAAUACCCUCGAGGAAGGACAUCACCCACAGAAGAAGCACCGGCUAACUCCGUGCCAGCUGCCGCGGUAAUACGGAGGGUGCGAGCGUUAAUCGGAAUUACUGGGCGUAAAGCGCGCGUAGGCGGUCUGAUAAGCCGGUUGUGAAAGCCCCGGGCUCAACCUGGGAACGGCAUCCGGAACUGUCAGGCUAGAGUGCAGGAGAGGAAGGUAGAAUUCCCGGUGUAGCGGUGAAAUGCGUAGAGAUCGGGAGGAAUACCAGUGGCGAAGGCGGCCUUCUGGACUGACACUGACGCUGAGGUGCGAAAGCGUGGGUAGCAAACAGGAUUAGAUACCCGAGUAGCC
rnacentral:rRNA from 1 species